rnacentral:lncRNA from 1 species
CAAUCAGCGAGACUCCGUGGGCGUAGGACCCUCCGAGCCAGUUCUCACCUUGAUGAUUUUAUAAAUACCUGUGCAAUCAUUUAAGGAUGCUGUUAUAACUUGCUAUCACAGGAUUCAGGUCCAAGAACCCUCUCUUAGGAUCUGCACUGGGACCUACCCCUUUUUGGCAACAUGUUCUUGGCAACCACGAAGGGACUAUCCUGAGGAGAUCCCUGACCCAAAGGAAAUAGACUGCAGAACCAAUUGGCUGACUUUGGGUAAGUGGUGGGGUAAACCUUACCCAGUUAAAUGAUGGUAUUGGGUUAGAGUACCUCCUAAGACAGAGAAGGUUAAAGGCCCCUCUUAAUAAAAGGCAAGGAUGCUUGACCAAACUUGGGUUCCAGCCCCAACUUAGGAAGGUUAGAGUCCUUCCUAAGAUUUAGAGGUUUAAAGGCCUCUCUCAGUGAAGUCCCUCUUGGUUAAAAAUGGAUUUGGCAUAAUGGGAUG